rnacentral:rRNA from 1 species
CAGAACAUGGGUGAUAAGGUCCGUGUUCGAAAGGGAAACAGCCCAGACCACCAGCUAAGGUCCCAAAAUAUAUGUUAAGUGGAAAAGGAUGUGGCGUUGCCCAGACAACUAGGAUGUUGGCUUAGAAGCAGCCAUCAUUUAAAGAGUGCGUAAUAGCUCACUAGUCGAGUGACACUGCGCCGAAAAUGUACCGGGGCUAAACAUAUUACCGAAGCUGUGGAUUGUCCUUUGGACAAUGGUAGGAGAGCGUUCUAAGGGCGUUGAAGCAUGAUCGUAAGGACAUGUGGAGCGCUUAGAAGUGAGAAUGCCGGUGUGAGUAGCGAAAGACGGGUGAGAAUCCCGUCCACCGAUUGACUAAGGUUUCCAGAGGAAGGCUCGUCCGCUCUGGGUUAGUCGGGUCCUAAGCUGAGGCCGACAGGCGUAGGCGAUGGAUAACAGGUUGAUAUUCCUGUACCACCUAUAAUCGUUUUAAUCGAUGGGGGGACGCAGUAGGAUAGGCGAAGCGUGCGAUUGGAUUGCACGUCUAAGCAGUAAGGCUGAGUAUUAGGCA